CAGAUAUGCAUGCAGGCAAAACACUCAUACAUAAAAAUAAAAUCUAAAAAAAAAUUAAACGUUAAGUAAACGUUAAAAUAAGUAACAUUUUUCUUUUGCAUAAUCAGUGCUUAAAUAACCAGUCCUUAAUCAAAUGCAAUGAUAAACCAUUGCAAAAUUAUUACUGUAGGAAGGCCUUUGUUUUGUUUUUCUAAGACAAAGUCUUACUAUGGUGCCCUGGCUGUCCUUAAACUCAAUAUGUACACUAGGCUGGCCUGCAACUUAUAGCAAUCCUCCCGCCUCUGUAAUUCCAUCUCCAAUUUCCAAAUAAUGGAAUUACAGAUGUGAGCUGCCAUGUUAGCCUAUAAAACAGUUUUAAACAUAAAAUAAAACCCACCUGUUAGUACAGUUUAAUUCUGAUAAAAAAAAUUCAGAAAUCAACUUUGGGGAAGGGGGAAAAGCAAACUAUUUCGGAGUGAGGUUCUUUAAUAACAUUAAAACACAUAUGGUCAACUGGGCAGUGGAGGAACACACCUUUAAUCCCAGCACUCGGGAGACAGAGGCAGGAGGAUCUAUGUGAGUUUGAGGCCAGCCUGGUCUACAGAGCGAGUCACAGGACAGGUUCCAAAGCUACAAGAAUACCUGUCUCAGAAAAAAAACAAAAGAAAACAACAUCAACAACAAAAAUAUAACAAAAGCACAUACGGUCACUAUUACAAUGACUCCUGUAACCUGCUUCCUUCAUCCACCACAGGUCUACUUUCUGGACAGUUUAGGACUGAUGUCUUACUCCUGUUGGGUGACACUUCAGUAAAUGCCCUGAUCGGGUGCUGCCCCUCCCGCACUAGCCUGCAUUUAUAACCUGCACACAAGGCUACACCUCAGAUCAAGAUGGAACAUACUGCAGACCUAAGAAAAAUAAAACCAGAAAACUGUGGACAUCUUUAUAAAGUCUCAAGAAGCCUUUAUACAAAACAGACAACAACUUUACAAAGGAUAAAAUAAUGUUUUUUUUAAACUACUACCUGCAUUAAAUUUAUGGAGGUGUGGAGACACAACUAGAAAUAUAUAAAGAGGUUUUUUUUUUUUUUUUUUUUUUUU